AUGACCUGCUCAGAACCUAAUCAGGAUACCCACAAACGACCACCACUCAUCAACCAUGCACCCCAACCUCAGUUUGGCCCCCCCUCUGAUUCUGCUCGCCCAUCAUCUCUCUCCCUGGCUUAUUCUCCCUCCAACCUGACUCACCUCCAGGUUCCGCCCAGCCACCGUUGUCUGGACACCAGUGGGGACUUCAGUCCGACAGCUGAUGCAUCCUGGGACUCUUCUUCCAACAUCUUGAACCUCUCCACACUCUUCCAGCCAAACAGCGCCCAGGUGGGCCUGCUGGAGAGAGGCCUUUCAUUUAUUCCCACUCCGGACUCCUUUGACCAGGCUGUACUGCGCAGGGACCUAUACAGGUACCACAGGAGAAUAAAACUAGCCGAUCACUUCCAGGACAAUGACUCCGAAGCACCACCAUUCACCUUGCCAUCCAGCUGGGAGCCUUCAUGGGCAAAGCUGAGCACGGAGACCAAGACCCUCAUUCGUGUGGACGUCCAAGCCCUGAAUCGCCUCAUGCCUCCGCUGGAUAAAAUGAACCACCUUGCAGCGCAAGAUAAACGAGCCAUAAGGAGCCUGCAGAACAACCCCAACAUCAUUAUCAAACCGGCAGAUAAGGGCUCUAAAAUUGUCAUUAUGGACCGGCAACAAUACUCCUUUGAGGCCCACAGACAAUUAAACAAUAAAACCUACUAUCGAAUCAUUGAUAAUAGCAUCCAAAAUCACACGCUAGUACAGAUACGUGACAUAGUGCAAAAACUUCAUCAUAAAAACUUCAUUUCAGCUAAACAGAGGGAUUUCCUCUAUGGACCAGACUCCCCACGCAAUAGGCAGUUUUAUCUUCUCCCAAAGAUUCACAAGGAUCCACAGACCUGGACGGUCCCGUAUGCAGUCCCCCCUGGUAGACCAAUAGUAUCGGAUUGUGGCAGCGCGACCUAUAACAUCUCUCAGUACAUUGACUCUUUUCUGGGCCCACUGUCCUCUAAGCAUCCCAGCUAUCUUAGAGACACAUACCACUUCCUGGACAUAAUCCGCUCUAUGGUUUUACCCACAAAGGCGCUCCUCUUCACCAUAGACAUCGACAGUCUGUACACCAACAUCAACACGGAGAUGGGUCUUCAGGCAGUGCAGCGCACCUUUCACCGACACCCUGACAGGAACAGACCAGACACAGAAAUCAUUCAACUCCUGGAACUCUGCCUCAAAUGCAACGACUUUGAGUUCGACAACAAACAAUAUCUACAGGUGCAGGGGACAGCGAUGGGACACAGAUAUGCCCCCUCCUACGCAAACAUAUAUAUGAGCGAGUGGGAACGAGAAGCACUAGAAAAGUGUCAACUAAAACCUACCUUCUACCUCCGCUUCCUCGAUGACAUCAUCGGAGCGUGGGAGCAUGGGAAAGCGAGUUUCUCCACGUUCAUCGCCACACUAAACAACCACCAUCCCUCGAUUAAAGUGAAACACACCCUGCAACCGGAUGAGGUCAACUUUCUUGACACAACAGUCUUCUUUCAGCACACAAAAUCUGGCACAAAACGACUGCUAACCCGGGUGCAUUUCAAACCAACAGACACACAUGCACUUCUCCAUAAAGCUAGUUAUCACCCCAAACACACAUUCAAAGCCAUAAUUAAGUCACAAAUCAUACGAUUCCAUAGAAUUUCUUCCCGGGAAGCGGACUUAAAUCAUGCCAUUCUCACCUUAUUCAGCAGCCUCAGGAAACGGGGAUAUUCCAGAAGGUUCCUAAGAUUCAUCAAAAAGCAGACAUUGUCAUCACUUACCACCCUGGACACCGUUGCUUCCUCACCGAACAAGGGCAGCAGAAGAAGCAUCAGAGAAGACAAAUCUGGCACGGACUCCAAAGAAUUCAUUCCGUUGGUCACAACAUAUUCUAGACCUCAUCUUCGUCUGCAGAACCUCUGGAAAAACAACUUUCAGACUACAAUGUCGAAUCACAAACACUUGAAAGACUACAAAAUCAUCUCAGCCUUCCGGAAAAACAAAAACCUUAAAGAUCUACUUGUUAAUGCACGGUUCAACAGACAUGCCAUCACGCAGAAGCACUGGGCCUUCAGGCAGAAGAAGUUCCUCUUCAAUCCACAUGGGGGCGCCAGUUCACCAACACUGGGGAGCUUCAACCUUCACAGCUCCAAUCUAGUCUAUUGCAUUGUUUGCAGAGCCUGUGGGAAGAUGUAUGUGGGAGAAACAGGCAAGACCCUCCUGACAAGGCUCAAACAGCACAUUCACAGCAUUGAAAUAGGUAGACUGUCUACUCCUCUGGUGCAACACUUUCAAACACAUCCUCUUCAUCACUUAUCAAUCACAGGCGUUGAGGCAUGUGCCACUUGGACGGAGGGCCAGCGAAAGAGGCAGGAGAGAAUAUGGAUAGGGAAACUUAAAACUACAGUUCCCCUAGGUCUGAACUUCUAA
ensembl:lncRNA